UACGUAGGGGGCAAGCGUUGUCCGGAUUUAUUGGGCGUAAAGAGCGUGUAGGCGGCCAGAUAGGUCCGUUGUGAAAACUGGAGGCUUAACCUCCAGCUGUCGAUGGAAACCAUCUGGCUAGAGUCCGGAAGAGGAGAGUGGAAUUCCUGGUGUAGCGGUGAAAUGCGCAGAUAUCAGGAAGAACACCCGUGGCGAAGGCGGCUCACUGGCCCGGUACUGACGCUGAGGUGCGAAAGCGUGGGGAGCAAACAGG
rnacentral:rRNA from 1 species